AAGCUCGUAGUUGAAUUUCGAAUGUGGCUGGGCGGUCCGCCUCACGGUGUGUACUGUCUGGCUGUGUUCUCUUUCUUGGUGAGCCGGCAUGCCCUUUACUGGGUGUGUUGGGGAACCAGGACGUUUACCUUGAGAAAAUUAGAGUGUUCAGAGCAGGCCUAUGCCCGAAUACAUUAGCAUGGCAUAAUAAAAUAGGACGUGCGGUUCUAUUUUGUUGGUUUCUAGAGCCGCAGUAAUGAUUAAUAGGGAUAGUUGGG
rnacentral:rRNA from 1 species